GGAGCUCUCAUGUUUUUUGGGCAUGUCUAAUCAUCAUAUAUGAAAAAACUUAUGUAUAUAAUUAGGUUAUGUCUGUUUGAUAGGAUUAAAAAGUGAGAUAUAAUUUUAAAAUCAUACAUUUGCAUAUUUGGAUAUAGGAAGAACAAGAGAAGGACCAACAUAAGUUAUAGGUCUAGCAUUUUUAACUCAACAUAAUCUUCUUUUGAUUUUUCAAUUUCUUAGUCCCUAUGACAAUGUUGAUUGAAAGAAAAACUCCAAAAUUUUCAUGACCAUUCAUGAUGUUUUGUGUAAAAGAGACUUUGUCGUUUACUCUAUUGACUUAUAGAGAAGUUGAGCUCAAAGGACACUAUAACAUAUUUGGAUAUAAGAAGAACAAGGGAAAGACCUAAAUAAGUUAUAGGUUUAGCAUUUUUAAGUCAACAUAAUCUUCUUUGAUUUUCAAUUUCUUAGUCCCUACACCAAUGUUGAUUGAAGGAAAAAUUCCAAAAAUUUCAUGACCAUUUAUGAUGUUUUGUGUAAAAGAGCCUUUGUCGUGUUGCAUACUUCUAGCUUACAAAUUACUCUAUUGACUUAUAGAAGUCAAGCUCAAGGGAUACUAUAACAUAUUUGGAUGUAGGAAGAACAAGAGAAAGACUUAAAUAAGUUAUAGCUCGAGCAUUUUUAACUCAACAUAAUCUUCUUUGAUUUUUCAAUUUUGUAGUCCCUACGUUAAUGCUGAUUGAAAGAAAAACUCCAAAAAUUUUAUGACCAUUUAUGAUAUUCCGUAUAAAAGAGACUUUGUCAUGUUGCAUACUCUUAGCUUACAAAUUUCUCUAUUGACUCAUAAAAGUCAAGCUCAUGGGACACUAUAAUUAAUGUGCAUAAGAUAAAACUAGUUUAAUUGAAAAAAAAAAAACACAUACACACAAAAUAUUUC
rnacentral:lncRNA from 1 species